GGAGGGGUGGCCGAGUGGUUUAAGGCGGCGGUCUUGAAAACCGCUGGGUCAAAUGACCCCGCAGGUUCGAAUCCUGCUCCCUCCG
rnacentral:tRNA from 1 species